UACGGAGGGUGCGAGCGUUGUCCGGAAUCACUGGGCGUAAAGGGCGCGUAGGCGGCGCGGGCAGUCAACGGUGAAAGCUUGGGGCUCAACCCCGAGUCGGCCGUCGAUACUCCCGGGCUUGAGCACUGUAGAGGCAGGUGGAAUUCCGGGUGUAGCGGUGAAAUGCGCAGAUAUCAGGAGGAACACCGGUGGCGAAGGCGGCUUGCUGGGCCAGUUCUGACGCUGAGGAGCGAAAGCGUGGGGGAGCGAACAGG
rnacentral:rRNA from 1 species